rnacentral:rRNA from 1 species
CUACGGGAGGCAGCAGUGGGGAAUUUUGGACAAUGGGGGCAACCCUGAUCCAGCCAUGCCGCGUGCGGGAAGAAGGCCUUCGGGUUGUAAACCGCUUUCAUACGGGACGAAAUAGCGUGGGUUAAUACCCUGCGUUGAUGACGGUACCGUAAGAAGGAGCACCGGCUAACUACGUGCCAGCAGCCGCGGUAAU